GAUGAACGCUGGCGGCGUGCCUAAUACAUGCAAGUCGAGCGAACAGACGAGGAGCUUGCUCCUCUGACGUUAGCGGCGGACGGGUGAGUAACACGUGGAUAACCUACCUAUAAGACUGGGAUAACUUCGGGAAACCGGAGCUAAUACCGGAUAAUAUAUUGAACCGCAUGGUUCAAUAGUGAAAGACGGUUUUGCUGUCACUUAUAGAUGGAUCCGCGCCGCAUUAGCUAGUUGGUAAGGUAACGGCUUACCAAGGCAACGAUGCGUAGCCGACCGGAGAGGGGGGCCGCCCACCAGGGAGCGGAACCAGCGACAAGACUACUAGGGGAGGGCGCAGUAGGAUACUCUAGGCAGGGGGCGAAAGCCUGACGGAACAGCCCCAAGUGAGGGAUAAAGGUGUGGGGUUCGAAAAAUUGUUUUUUGAGGAAAAAAAAAAUUGGAAAUUAACUAUACACGUCUGGACGGUACUUAAUAAAAAAGCCCCGGCUAACUACGGG
rnacentral:rRNA from 1 species